GGUUAAGCGACUAAGCGUACACGGUGGAUGCCCUGGCAGUCAGAGGCGAUGAAGGACGUGCUAAUCUGCGAUAAGCGUCGGUAAGGUGAUAUGAACCGUUAUAACCGGCGAUUUCCGAAUGGGGAAACCCAGUGUGAUUCGUCACACUAUCAUUAACUGAAUCCAUAGGUUAAUGAGGCGAACCGGGGGAACUGAAACAUCUAAGUACCCCGAGGAAAAGAAAUCAACCGAGAUUCCCCCAGUAGCGGCGAGCGAACGGGGAGCAGCCCAGAGCCUGAAUCAGUGUGUGUGUUAGUGGAAGCGUCUGGAAAGGCGCGCGAUACAGGGUGACAGCCCCGUACACAAAAAUGCACAUGCUGUGAGCUCGAUGAGUAGGGCGGGACACGUGGUAUCCUGUCUGAAUAUGGGGGGACCAUCCUCCAAGGCUAAAUACUCCUGACUGACCGAUAGUGAACCAGUACCGUGAGGGAAAGGCGAAAAGAACCCCGGCGAGGGGAGUGAAAAAGAACCUGAAACCGUGUACGUACAAGCAGUGGGAGCACGCUUAGGCGUGUGACUGCGUACCUUUUGUAUAAUGGGUCAGCGACUUAUAUUCUGUAGCAAGGUUAACCGAAUAGGGGAGCCGAAGGGAAACCGAGUCUUAACUGGGCGUUAAGUUGCAGGGUAUAGACCCGAAACCCGGUGAUCUAGCCAUGGGCAGGUUGAAGGUUGGGUAACACUAACUGGAGGACCGAACCGACUAAUGUUGAAAAAUUAGCGGAUGACUUGUGGCUGGGGGUGAAAGGCCAAUCAAACCGGGAGAUAGCUGGUUCUCCCCGAAAGCUAUUUAGGUAGCGCCUCGUGAAUUCAUCUCCGGGGGUAGAGCACUGUUUCGGCAAGGGGGUCAUCCCGACUUACCAACCCGAUGCAAACUGCGAAUACCGGAGAAUGUUAUCACGGGAGACACACGGCGGGUGCUAACGUCCGUCGUGAAGAGGGAAACAACCCAGACCGCCAGCUAAGGUCCCAAAGUCAUGGUUAAGUGGGAAACGAUGUGGGAAGGCCCAGACAGCCAGGAUGUUGGCUUAGAAGCAGCCAUCAUUUAAAGAAAGCGUAAUAGCUCACUGGUCGAGUCGGCCUGCGCGGAAGAUGUAACGGGGCUAAACCAUGCACCGAAGCUGCGGCAGCGACGCUUAUGCGUUGUUGGGUAGGGGAGCGUUCUGUAAGCCUGCGAAGGUGUGCUGUGAGGCAUGCUGGAGGUAUCAGAAGUGCGAAUGCUGACAUAAGUAACGAUAAAGCGGGUGAAAAGCCCGCUCGCCGGAAGACCAAGGGUUCCUGUCCAACGUUAAUCGGGGCAGGGUGAGUCGACCCCUAAGGCGAGGCCGAAAGGCGUAGUCGAUGGGAAACAGGUUAAUAUUCCUGUACUUGGUGUUACUGCGAAGGGGGGACGGAGAAGGCUAUGUUGGCCGGGCGACGGUUGUCCCGGUUUAAGCGUGUAGGCUGGUUUUCCAGGCAAAUCCGGAAAAUCAAGGCUGAGGCGUGAUGACGAGGCACUACGGUGCUGAAGCAACAAAUGCCCUGCUUCCAGGAAAAGCCUCUAAGCAUCAGGUAACAUCAAAUCGUACCCCAAACCGACACAGGUGGUCAGGUAGAGAAUACCAAGGCGCUUGAGAGAACUCGGGUGAAGGAACUAGGCAAAAUGGUGCCGUAACUUCGGGAGAAGGCACGCUGAUAUGUAGGUGAAGCGACUUGCUCGUGGAGCUGAAAUCAGUCGAAGAUACCAGCUGGCUGCAACUGUUUAUUAAAAACACAGCACUGUGCAAACACGAAAGUGGACGUAUACGGUGUGACGCCUGCCCGGUGCCGGAAGGUUAAUUGAUGGGGUCAGCGCAAGCGAAGCUCUUGAUCGAAGCCCCGGUAAACGGCGGCCGUAACUAUAACGGUCCUAAGGUAGCGAAAUUCCUUGUCGGGUAAGUUCCGACCUGCACGAAUGGCGUAAUGAUGGCCAGGCUGUCUCCACCCGAGACUCAGUGAAAUUGAACUCGCUGUGAAGAUGCAGUGUACCCGCGGCAAGACGGAAAGACCCCGUGAACCUUUACUAUAGCUUGACACUGAACAUUGAGCCUUGAUGUGUAGGAUAGGUGGGAGGCUUAGAAGUGUGGACGCCAGUCUGCAUGGAGCCGACCUUGAAAUACCACCCUUUAAUGUUUGAUGUUCUAACGUUGACCCGUAAUCCGGGUUGCGGACAGUGUCUGGUGGGUAGUUUGACUGGGGCGGUCUCCUCCUAAAGAGUAACGGAGGAGCACGAAGGUUGGCUAAUCCUGGUCGGACAUCAGGAGGUUAGUGCAAUGGCAUAAGCCAGCUUGACUGCGAGCGUGACGGCGCGAGCAGGUGCGAAAGCAGGUCAUAGUGAUCCGGUGGUUCUGAAUGGAAGGGCCAUCGCUCAACGGAUAAAAGGUACUCCGGGGAUAACAGGCUGAUACCGCCCAAGAGUUCAUAUCGACGGCGGUGUUUGGCACCUCGAUGUCGGCUCAUCACAUCCUGGGGCUGAAGUAGGUCCCAAGGGUAUGGCUGUUCGCCAUUUAAAGUGGUACGCGAGCUGGGUUUAGAACGUCGUGAGACAGUUCGGUCCCUAUCUGCCGUGGGCGCUGGAGAACUGAGGGGGGCUGCUCCUAGUACGAGAGGACCGGAGUGGACGCAUCACUGGUGUUCGGGUUGUCAUGCCAAUGGCACUGCCCGGUAGCUAAAUGCGGAAGAGAUAAGUGCUGAAAGCAUCUAAGCACGAAACUUGCCCCGAGAUGAGUUCUCCCUGACCCUUUAAGGGUCCUGAAGGAACGUUGAAGACGACGACGUUGAUAGGCCGGGUGUGUAAGCGCAGCGAUGCGUUGAGCUAACCGGUACUAAUGAACCGUGAGGCUUAACCUU
rnacentral:rRNA from 1 species